rnacentral:misc_RNA from 1 species
GUAGGUGAACCUGCGGAAGGAUCAUUAUCGUAGGGCUUCGGCCCUGUCGAGAUAGAACACUUGCCUUUUUAAGUACCUUCUGUUUCCUCGGCAGGCUCGCCUGCCAAUGGGGACCACAAAAAACACUUUGCAGUACCUGUAAUAGUCUGAAAAACAAACAAAAAUUAAAACUUUCAACGACGGAUCUCUUGGUUCUG